GAGGGUGAAUUUCCCAAAUGACUUUUUUUUUUGUCUUUAGUGAAAUUCGUAUUUGAAAAAAGAAAUAUUGUUCUGGAUUUUUUUUUUUUGUAUUCAAUAGGCAGUUAUUGGGUUGUGGCAAAAAUAUAAUUUGCCUAGGACUAUAUAUAAGGGUAGAAAAAAAUACAUAAACCUCAAUUUUUCUCAUAUCGGUGGCUGUCCCUCUACUUUUUUUACUGACAAAAAUGCUUAUACACUUGUAAAAAUAAGUAAGUUAAGUAUGUAACUAAUUUUAUUUAAUAGACUAUUAGUUUUAUUAUUAACAUAGAGCAUAUUUUAAUACAUAACCGACGUUUAUAAUUACUGAGAGGCACAAACAUACUUGUCUCGAAAAAUGCUCUCAUAUCGGUGGCCAAAAGUAAUUUAAACCUAACUUUACAUCGGCGGGUCCGACAGCGUCCCCACCCCAAUAUUAUUUCCCUCGUUAGUGUGCGCUAGCGCGCAGUGAAGACGGACGCGUGUCAAGUCGCUGCAUUUUCCCGCCAAUAACAUCCUGUGUAAUUUCGUGCGGUGCGGUCGCGGCGCCAGCGCCGGAGCGAUGUUGAUGUGGCUGCGGUUAUUAUAAAAACUUACUAUAUAAUACUAAUAAUGAUUUAUUAGUAUUGGGUUAUUGGUAAAACACUAACAACCUCUCAGGACUAUAUUAGUGACACCAUAAACAACAACUUUUGUUUUAUGACUUUUUACAAAACGUUAUUAUGAUGUUGUUAUGAUUUUUUAUUUAUCUUUGUGCUUCAUUUUAAUAAAGACAUUGGUAAUACAAA